CCUACGGGAGGCAGCAGUGGGGAAUUUUGGACAAUGGGGGAAACCCUGAUCCAGCCAUGCCGCGUGAGUGAAGAAGGCCUUCGGGUUGUAAAGCUCUUUCGGCUGGGAAGAAAUCGCACAGGCUAAUACUCUGUGUGGAUGACGGUACCAGCAUAAGAAGCACCGGCUAACUACGUGCCAGCAGCCGCGGUAAUACGUAGGGUGCGAGCGUUAAUCGGAAUUACUGGGCGUAAAGCGUGCGCAGGCGGUUGUGCAAGACAGAUGUGAAAUCCCCGGGCUCAACCUGGGAACUGCAUUUGUGACUGCACGACUAGAGUACGGCAGAGGGGGGUAGAAUUCCACGUGUAGCAGUGAAAUGCGUAGAGAUGUGGAGGAAUACCGAUGGCGAAGGCAGCCCCCUGGGCCGAUACUGACGCUCAUGCACGAAAGCGUGGGGAGCAAACAGGAUUAGAUACCCCUGUAGUC
rnacentral:rRNA from 1 species